UUUUGGUUGUUUAUGUUUUUAUUGGCGUAAAAAUAGAUCGAUGCCUGGCUGUGGCAAGCGGUGGCAGGGAGUGGAAACCAGUUCACGGACAACAGCAGUUACUUCGCCAUGCCAAAACAGCUGAUGAAACACACACACACACAGCUAUGAUGAGCCCAUGUAGGGACGUGUGUCCAAUCUGCGAUGCAAUGAGUGUACUAUGGGCCGCCUCCACACGCGCCCACCUACGCCUUUGCCAUGGCCAAAACAUCACAUGGCGCACCCAGAUUCGAUUCGGGGAUUCGUGCCGCUCCUUGGGCCAGUGCCAAAUCGAAAAUACUCUCGAUUUUUUUUUUAGUGACGGAAAAUUUGUGUGCCCCACGCUUCCCGCUGCUUGACCAUGGCCGGAUUGGAGGCCGACGCAUUCAUGUGACUCUGUCUGACUGACUGAGUGAAAGAGAGGCAGGGGCGGCGGUUGUCAUGUGCUCUCCUUCUCUCUCUUUCUCUCUCCAUCUCGCUUGUUCCCCGCGUGGAAGGAUAAAUGAAGGUGCCGCCGUUCGUGUGACUUUUGCACUGCCAACGGUGGACCGUUGGGAGUCCGGUUCUGCCGUUCACUUAGCCUAGAGCCAGAAGGGACUGGGCUGGACUGGAUCCAUCAGCCUUGGGCAGCCUGUGCAACUGGUCCAGUUCCAGAGUGAGAGACGGAAUACCUCCACACGAGCAUCGUGCCGAUUUUUUUGGCAUGUUUAUUUAUAAGCCAUGGACUUGUUUUUCUAGUUGUGCCUGUUAAUCUUCAUCAUCAGUGUUAAUUGCUGGACUCUGACUCUGUCGUCUCAGCUCCGCUCCGCUCCUGGUCUGCUCUCCCUCUCUCCUCGAACUGAUCCUCUGCUCCCCCACACAGAAGGCGCGUUUUUCAGCGUUUUACGUCAAUAGACAGACGGUCCCCAGCUACUGGGCUGGCACACAGGCUGUAGGAGGGUGAUCUGUAUGGGUUAUCAGCUUCAGACGAGCCUUCUAAAUAUAGAGCCAGUGUCUGUAACCCGGAUCUUGAUUGGCAGCAACCAGAAAACUUUCCUAGGGGUUCUGUUUU
rnacentral:lncRNA from 1 species